UGGGGAAUUUUCCGCAAUGGGCGAAAGCCUGACGGAGCAAUCUCGCGUGAGGGAUGACGGCCUAUGGGUUGUAAACCUCUUUUUCAGGGAGGAAUCAAAUGACGUGUACCUGAAGAAUAAGCAUCGGCUAACUCCGUGCCAGCAGCCGCGGUAAGACGGAGGAUGCAAGUGUUAUCCGGAAUCACUGGGCGUAAAGCGUCUGUAGGUGGUUUAGUAAGUCAACUGUUAAAUCUUGGAGCUUAAACUUCAAAAUCGCAGUCGAAAACUGCUAGACUAGAGUAUAGUAGGGGGUAAAAGGGAAUUUCCAGUGGAGCGGUGAAAUGCGUAGAGAUUGGAAAGAACACCGAUGGCGAAGGCACUUUACUGGGGCUAUUACUGACACUCAGAGACGAAAGCUAGGGUAGCAAAUGGGAUUAGAUACCCCAGUAGUCCUAGCCGUAAACAAAUGGGAUACUAGAUGUUGAACAGAUCGACCUGUGCAGUAUUAAAAGCUAACGCGUUAAGUAU
rnacentral:rRNA from 1 species